CUCUGUGACUCCUACGGGGAGGCAGCAGUGGGGAAUAUUGCACAAUGGGGGAAACCCUGAUGCAGCCAUGCCGCGUGUGUGAAGAAGGCCUUCGGGUUGUAAAGCACUUUCAGUAGGGAGGAAGGUAGUGUAGUUAACACCUGCACUAUUUGACGUUACCUACAGAAGAAGCACCGGCUAACUCCGUGCCAGCAGCCGCGGUAAUACGGAGGGUGCGAGCGUUAAUCGGAAUUACUGGGCGUAAAGCGCAUGCAGGCGGCCUGUUAAGUCAGAUGUGAAAGCCCGGGGCUUAACCUCGGAAUUGCAUUUGAAACUGGCAGGCUAGAGUCUUGUAGAGGGGGGUAGGAAUUUCAGGUGUAGCGGUGAAAUGCGUAGAGAUCUGAAGGAAUACCAGUGGCGAAGGCGGCCCCCUGGACAAAGACUGACGCUCAGAUGCGAAAGCGUGGGGAGCAAACAGGAUUUGAUACCCUGGUAG
rnacentral:rRNA from 1 species